AAGGGCGGGCAUGCCUUAACAUGCAGUCGAACGGCAGCGCGGGGCAACCUGGCGGCGAGUGGCGAACGGGUGAGUAAUAUAUCGGAACGUACCCUGGAGUGGGGGAUAACGUAGCGAAAGUUACGCUAAUACCGCAUACGAUCUAAGGAUGAAAGUGGGGGAUCGCAAGACCUCAUGCUCCUGGAGCGGCCGAUAUCUGAUUAGCUAGUUGGUAGGGUAAAAGCCUACCAAGGCAUCGAUCAGUAGCUGGUCUGAGAGGACGACCAGCCACACUGGAACUGAGACACGGUCCAGACUCCUACGGGAGGCAGCAGUGGGGAAUUUUGGACAAUGGGCGCAAGCCUGAUCCAGCAAUGCCGCGUGAGUGAAGAAGGCCUUCGGGUUGUAAAGCUCUUUUGUCAGGGAAGAAACGGGUCUUUCUAAUACAGAGACCUAAUGACGGUACCUGAAGAAUAAGCACCGGCUAACUACGUGCCAGCAGCCGCGGUAAUACGUAGGGUGCAAGCGUUAAUCGGAAUUACUGGGCGUAAAGCGUGCGCAGGCGGUUUUGUAAGUCUGUUGUGAAAUCCCCGGGCUCAACCUGGGAAUGGCAAUGGAGACUGCAAGGCUAGAGUUUGGCAGAGGGGGGUAGAAUUCCACGUGUAGCAGUG
rnacentral:rRNA from 1 species